GAUCAUUACCGAGUGAGGGCCCUUUGGGUCCAACCUCCCACCCGUGUUUAUUUACCUCGUUGCUUCGGCGGGCCCGCCUUAACUGGCCGCCGGGGGGCUCACGCCCCCGGGCCCGCGCCCGCCGAAGACACCCCCGAACUCUGCCUGAAGAUUGUCGUCUGAGUGAAAAUAUAAAUUAUUUAAAACUUUCAACAACGGAUCUCUUGGUUCCGGCAUCGAUGAAGAACGCAGCGAAAUGCGAUACGUAAUGUGAAUUGCAAAUUCAGUGAAUCAUCGAGUCUUUGAACGCACAUUGCGCCCCCUGGUAUUCCGGGGGGCAUGCCUGUCCGAGCGUCAUUGCUGCCCUCAAGCCCGGCUUGUGUGUUGGGCCCCGUCCUCCGAUUCCGGGGGACGGGCCCGAAAGGCAGCGGCGGCACCGCGUCCGGUCCUCGAGCGUAUGGGGCUUUGUCACCCGCUCUGUAGGCCCGGCCGGCGCUUGCCGAUCAACCCAAAUUUUUAUCCAGGUUGACCUCGGAUCAGGUAGGGAUACCCGCUGAACUUAAGCAUAUCAAUAAGCGGGAGGA
rnacentral:rRNA from 1 species